rnacentral:misc_RNA from 1 species
GAUGAAGAACGUAGCGAAAUGCGAUAAGUAAUGCGAAUUGCAGAAUUUCCGUGAGUCAUCGAAUCUUUGAACGCACAUUGCGCCCACUGGUAUUCCGGUGGGCAUGCCUGUUCGAGCGUCAUUAUCCUCCCUCAAACCCCGGGUUUGGUGUUGGACCCAAGUUGUGUGAACAACUGGUCUCAAAGACAAUGACGGCGUCCGUGGGACCCUCGGUGCAACGAGCUUUUAGGAGCACGCAUCGAGUUGCAAGGACCUUCCGGGCCGGUCUCUUUUACCAUUUUACAAGGUUGACCUCGGAUCAGGUAGGAAUACCCGCUGAACUUAAGCAUAUCAAUAAGCGGAGGA